rnacentral:rRNA from 1 species
UACGGGGGGGGCAAGCGUUGUUCGGAAUUACUGGGCGUAAAGGGCUCGUAGGCGGCGCGGUAAGUCGGGUGUGAAAUCUCGGAGCUUAACUCCGAAACUGCAUUCGAUACUGCCGUGCUUGAGGACUGGAGAGGAGACUGGAAUUUACGGUGUAGCGGUGAAAUGCGUAGAUAUCGUAAGGAAGACCAGUGGCGAAGGCGGGUCUCUGGACAGUUCCUGACGCUGAGGCACGAAGGCCAGGGGAGCAAACGGG